CCUACGGGUGGCUGCAGUGGGGAAUAUUGGGCAAUGGGCGCAAGCCUGACCCAGCAACGCCGCGUGAAGGAUGAAGGCCCUCGGGUUGUAAACCUCUUUUAUUCGGGACGAAACAAAUGACGGUACCGCAUGAAUAAGUCACCGCUAACUACGUGCCAGCAGCCGCGGUAAUACGUAGGUGGCAAGCGUUAUCCGGAUUUACUGGGUGUAAAGGGCGGGUAGGCGGGAGGGCAAGUCAGACGUGAAAUUCCCGGGAUCAACCCUGGAACUGCGUUUGAAACUGGUAUUCUUGAGUGUUGGAGAGGCAGGCGGAAUUCGGGGUGUAGCGGUGAAAUGCGUAGAUAUACGGAGGAACACCAGUGGCGAAGGCGGCCAGCUGGACAUUAACUGACGCUGAGGCGCGAAAGCGUGGGUAGCAAACAGGAUUAGAUACCCGAGUAGUC
rnacentral:rRNA from 1 species